GACGAACGCUGGCGGCGUGCCUAAUACAUGCAGGUUGAGCGCUGAAGGUUGGUACUUGUACCAACUGGAUGAGCAGCGAACGGGUGAGUAACGCGUGGGGAAUCUGCCUUUGAGCGGGGGACAACAUUUGGAAACGAAUGCUAAUACCGCAUAAAAACUUUAAACACAAGUUUUAAGUUUGAAAGAUGCAAUUGCAUCACUCAAAGAUGAUCCCGCGUUGUAUUAGCUAGUUGGUGAGGUAAAGGCUCACCAAGGCGAUGAUACAUAGCCGACCUGAGAGGGUGAUCGGCCACAUUGGGGCUGAGACACGGCCCAAACUCCUACGGGAGGCAGCAGUAGGGAAUCUUCGGCAAUGGACGAAAGUCUGACCGAGCAACGCCGCGUGAGUGAAGAAGGUUUUCGGAUCGUAAAACUCUGUUGGUAGAGAAGAACGUUGGUGAGAGUGGAAAGCUCAUCAAGUGACGGUAACUACCCAGAAAGGGACGGCUAACUACGUG
rnacentral:rRNA from 1 species